GUAGAUAAUUCUGCUUGAGGGAAAAACAGCAGCGCCGCAGGCGUCACAUUAUGGAGUCAGUUAGCACCCAUUCAAUGCAGAUGAUCCAUUGGUGAGCAAGUGAUGUAAUGCUAAUUUCUCCAGAUCUAUUCUGAUGAAGAAAAAAACACUUCUAUCUUGAAUGGCCUGAGGCUCUUGGACAGUGAAGGAGAGAGACUGGAUGCAAUGAGGUGGCAGAGAGGGGAACAGGAUCGUGAAAAGACCACAAGUCAGGACAUGAACUCGGGUCGCCUGAGGUGCUGCUGCACCAUAUGUCAGACUACUGACCACAAGACUGUGGCUCUGACAGGACAAUAUGAUUUUACAGUAUAGCAGAUUUUUUUAUUUAUUUAUUUUUUUCUCAUUCUUAUUAUA